CAGGACGAACGCUGGCGGCACGCUUAACACAUGCAAGUCGAACGGAGAUAUUUGGUUUACUGAGAUAUCUUAGUGGCGGACGGGUGAGUAACACGUGAGCAACCUGCCUUUGAGAGAGGGAUAGCUUCUGGAAACGGAUGGUAAUACCUCAUGACAUAGCAGAAGGGCAUCCUUUUGCUAUCAAAGAUUUAUCACUCAAAGAUGGGCUCGCGUCUGAUUAGGUAGUUGGUGAGGUAACGGCCCACCAAGCCGACGAUCAGUAGCCGGACUGAGAGGUUGAACGGCCACAUUGGGACUGAGACACGGCCCAGACUCCUACGGGAGGCAGCAGUGGGGAAUAUUGCACAAUGGGGGAAACCCUGAUGCAGCGAUGCCGCGUGGAGGAAGAAGGUUUUCGGAUUGUAAACUCCUGUCUUAAAGGACGAUAAUGACGGUACUUUAGGAGGAAGCUCCGGCUAACUACGUGCCAGCCGCCGC
rnacentral:rRNA from 1 species